UCAACAGGCAUCUUUUUGUGGUGCAACAAGUUAAGGAUCCAGCAAUAUCACUGCAGCAGCUCAGGUCAAAGCUGUGGUGCGAGCUGCUGCGGUGAUAUUGUGCAUGCCCCGGGUGAGGUCCAUAAAAAAGAAAAAGAAGGGCUUGACCGGCGCGCUCCCAGGGGCAGGAGGAGGGCAAGUCCCGGUCCCGGCCCUCGGCGGCACGGGUGGGCUCGGAGCAGGCCCCGCACCGGGCAGCAACCCUAUUCUCACUCCGGAGGCCCCCUGCCCUUACUUCCCCUUUCUCCCCCGGCCCAUGGUGCGAGGCUGGGAGCCGCUGCCCGGGGCCUGACAGCGUUCGGAGCCUUCUAGACUGCCUGUGAAAUGGAGGAGAAGAGAAACGUUUCCUUCCCAGGCCUCCCCUCCUCCUCUCCACGACUACCUUCUGGCAACCUCAACACACACACACAGAAACCUGGCCUUAUUCUUGGGGAGCAGUGGCCUUUGGGAAUGAAAGGGUUAAGAGAAACUACUCCUUCUGACCCCUACCCAGCCAUACUCAGAAAAUCAACCAGUAAAGUGGGAACCUGAGACCUCAGAGGUUCCUGGUGUUGCGUCCUAAUGUGAGACUUCUGAACUGAAAGACUCAAGCUGAGACCUAUUUGGUAAUGUGGGCCCAGAUGAGAUCUUUUAUCAUAUGUCCCCCGUUCUCACCAUACCUUUCAAGCUUAACCAUACCUUUUUAUGGUUAAGAUAGGUAGGUGGCAGUAAUUGAAAACAAAAAAGCCAGCUGGGAAUUUUUAAAUGAUGCAUACACAUCUUCAGUGUUGUCAUUAAAAGUACAUUCAUUUCACCAAAAAAAAAAAAAAAAAAAGAAAAGAAAAAGAAAAA